rnacentral:rRNA from 1 species
UACGGAGGAUGCGAGCGUUAUCCGGAUUUAUUGGGUUUAAAGGGUGCGUAGGCGGCCUUGUAAGUCAGCGGUGAAAUUUUGCAGCUUAACUGUAAAAGUGCCGUUGAUACUGUGAGGCUAGGAUUUGGUUGCUGUGGGUGGAAUGUGUGGUGUAGCGGUGAAAUGCAUAGAUAUCACGAGGAACUCCGAUUGCGCAGGCAGCUUACUAAACUACUACUGACGCUCAGGCACGAAGGCGUGGGGAUCAAACAGGAUUAGAUA